rnacentral:snRNA from 1 species
ACCCAUAAAGACUUGCCGUUACA